GUUUAGUUAGCGAAUAUUAUUUGAACUGUUUCCUUAAGGUAUGUAAGUUUACACACUCAAAUAUGUUUUAAUAUACAAUUCUAUAUACUAACCGGUAUACAAAUGGCAUUUGUCAUUACAAAUAGGUAUACCUAUUGUCAAUUACAGUAUCCUCUUUGUUUGUUAUUGAUACGAUUUAUUAAGUUUUUCUUUGCAGGCAAUAUUUUGAAAGAAAAGCUCAGUCAUCUGAGAUGCAGUGUUGCAGCACUGAAAAGCAUUGGGUGCCCAUCAUAGAGUGUUUCUCUUUGCCUGCAAUCAGGAUACAUCAACUGACCUUUGAACUGUGUUUUCCAACUUGGGAUUCAAACACAUGCCCUCUUGGGUAGGAGAAAGUCAGACAAACACCUGUGGCUAUAUCACUAUACUUCUUCAAGUCUCGCUCUAUGAGUGAUCAUGAUGUGAAAUAAAACAAAAUGCAGUCAUCUUUUUGUCAUAUUAAAUAAGUUAUGAACAAAUAAAAUAUUUCAAACAUUU